UACGUAGGUGGCGAGCGUUGUCCGGAAUUAUUGGGCGUAAAGGGCGCGUAGGCGGCCUUGUAAGUCAGAUGUGAAACCCCCGGGCUUAACUUGGGGCAUGCAUUUGAAACUGCAGGGCUUGAGUGCAGGAGAGGUAAGUGGAAUUCCUAGUGUAGCGGUGAAAUGCGUAGAUAUUAGGAGGAACACCAGUGGCGAAGGCGACUUACUGGACUGUAACUGACGCUGAGGCGCGAAAGCGUGGGGAGCAAACAGG
rnacentral:rRNA from 1 species